AGAGUUUGAUCAUGGCUCAGGACGAACGCUGGCGGCGUGCCUAAUACAUGCAAGUCGAACGAGAAUUUCUUACACCGAGUGCUUGCACUCACCGUAAGAAAUUCGAGUGGCGGACGGGUGAGUAACACGUGGGUAACCUGCCCAAAAGAAGGGGAUAACAUUUGGAAACAAACGCUAAUACCGUAUAACCAUGAUGACCGCAUGGUCAUUAUGUAAAAGGUGGUUCUGCUAUCGCUUUUGGAUGGACCCGCGGCGUAUUAACUAGUUGGUAGGGUAACGGCCUACCAAGGUGAUGAUACGUAGCCGAGUUGAGAGACUGAUCGGCCACAAUGGGACUGAGACACGGCCCAUACUCCUACGGGAGGCAGCAGUAGGGAAUCUUCCACAAUGGGCGCAAGCCUGAUGGAGCAACGCCGCGUGAAUGAAGAAGGUCUUCGGAUCGUAAAACUCUGUUGUUAGAGAAGAAUAUGAGUAAUAGUAACUGAUUAUUCACUGACGGUAUCUAACCAGCAAGUCACGGCUAACUACGUGCCAGCAGCCGCGGUAAUACGUAGGUGGCAAGCGUUGUCCGG
rnacentral:rRNA from 1 species